AAAUUUUCUUUUUCAUUUCAUCAGAGAUUUGAUUGUGGCCAGUGAUGACAAGAUGAGCUAAUAACACUUGAGCAACAUCAUAUAGUGCAAAACCCCUCCCAAUCAUUUGUAUUAAAACUGUGGAACUCAUUGCUACAAGAGAGCAUUGUCCUUUUGCUGAGCAGAAACUGAUGUAUGUAAUCAACUCCCCUCUACAGAAAAAGCAGUUUCCUUUUCUAGAGGUCUGUGGAAGCAUUUGGAAACAAGGAGGAGUGGUCACCUUUAGUGUCUCUACUCAGGGUUACAGAGGAGCAGUGGAAACAGAGGCUGACCUCAGAUAUAACAUCCAGGGGGAAAAGAAAACAAGUGAAUAGAAAGCAUACAAAGGAGAUAAGAGGUUCAAGCAAUGGGAAAACAUGAAAGGAAGAGGAAGAGAAGGGAACAAACAACAGAGAAGUACUUGCAG